UACGUAGGGUGCGAGCGUUGUCCGGAAUUAUUGGGCGUAAAGCGCUCGUAGGCGGUUUUUCGCGUCUGGCGUGAAAUCCACUGGCUUAACUGGUGGCUUGCUUUCGAUACGGGCAGACUGGAGGUAUGUAGGGGAGAACGGAAUUCCUGGUGUAGCGGUGAAAUGCGCAGAUAUCGGGAAGAACACCCGUGGCUAAGGCGGCUCUCUAGUACGGUACUGACGCUGAGACGCGAAAGCGUGGGGAGCGAACAGG
rnacentral:rRNA from 1 species